rnacentral:rRNA from 1 species
GUAAGGAAUAUUGGUCAAUGGACGGAAGUCUGAACCAGCCAUCCCGCGUGCAGGAUGAAGGUCCUAUGGAUUGUAAACUGCUUUUAGCAGAGACGAAACGCUUCCAUUUAUGGGAGUCUGACGGUAUCUGCAGAAUAAGCACCGGCUAACUCCGUGCCAGCAGCCGCGGUAAUACGGAGGGUGCAAGCGUUAUCCGGAAUCACUGGGUUUAAAGGGUGCGUAGGCGGAAUAUUAAGUCAGUGGUGAAAGCCUGUCGCUUAACGAUAGAACUGCCAUUGAUACUGAUAUUCUUGAAUUGGGUUGAGGUUAGCGGAAUGUGACAUGUAGCGGUGAAAUGCAUAGAUAUGUCAUGGAACACCAAUUGCGAAGGCAGCUAACUGGGCCUUGAUUGACGCUGAGGCACGAAAGCGUGGGUAGCGAACAGGAUUAGAUACCCGAGUAGUCC